UUUCUGGUUGAUCCUGCCAGUAGUUAUAUGCUUGUCUCAAAGAUUAGCCAUGCAUGUCUAA
rnacentral:ncRNA from 1 species